AGUGAACGCUGGCGGCAGGCCUAAUACAUGCAAGUCGAACGGCAGCACAGCAGAGCUUGCUCUGUGGGUGGCGAGUGGCGGACGGGUGAGGAAUACAUGGGAAUCUGCCCAGUCGUGGGGGAUAACGUAUGGAAACGUACGCUAAUACCGCAUGCGCCCUACGGGGGAAAGCCGGGGACCGCAAGGCCUGGCGCGAUUGGAUGAGCCCAUGUUCGAUUAGCUAGUUGGCGGGGUAAAGGCCCACCAAGGCGACGAUCGAUAGCUGGUCUGAGAGGACGAUCAGCCACACGGGAACUGAGAAACGGUCCCGACUCCUACGGGGGGCAGCAGUGAGGAAUAUUGGGCAAUGGACGAAAGUCUGACCCAGCAACGCCGCGUGGAGGAUGAAGGUUUUUGGAUUGUAAACUCCUUUUGUGGGGGAAGAGUGAGGACGGUACCCCAAGAAUAAGUCACGGCUAACUACGUGCCAGCAGCCGCGGUAAGGAGCUGUCGU
rnacentral:rRNA from 1 species